rnacentral:rRNA from 1 species
CAUGCAAGUCGAGCGGUAACAGGUGUAGCAAUACAUGCUGACGAGCGGCGGACGGGUGAGUAACGCUUGGGAAUCUGCCUAUCAGUGGGGGACAACCCGGGGAAACUCGGGCUAAUACCGCAUACGAUCUAAGGAUGAAAGCCGGGGACCGCAAGGCCUGGCGCUGAUAGAUGAGCCCAAGUCGGAUUAGCUAGUUGGUAGGGUAACGGCCUACCAAGGCGACGAUCCGUAACUGGUCUGAGAGGACGACCAGUCACACCGGAACUGAGACACGGUCCGGACUCCUACGGGAGGCAGCAGUGGGGAAUAUUGGACAAUGGGGGCAACCCUGAUCCAGCGACGCCGCGUGGGUGAAGAAGGCCUGCGGGUUGUAAAGCCCUUUCGGUGGGGAAGAAAAGUCUCGGCCUAAUACGCUGGGACCCUGACGUAACCCACUAAAGAAGCACCGGCUAACUCUGUGCCAGCAGCCGCGGUAAUACAGAGGGUGCGAGCGUUAAUCGGAAUUACUGGGCGUAAAGCGCGCGUAGGCGGCUUUGUAAGUCGGGAUGUGAAAUCCCCGGGCUCAACCUGGGAACUGCAUUCGAGACUGCAUGGCUAGAGUAUGGGAGAGGGAAGUGGAAUUUCAGGUGUAGCGGUGAAAUGCGUAGAUAUCUGAAGAACAUCAGUGGCGAAAGCGACUUCCUGGACCANUACUGACGCUCA